GCGAUAAGGAAGUGCAGGUGAAAGGCGGGAGUUCACGGUGAAGUGAAUGUCGGGAAUGCGUCUGUUGACUUUCGGCGACUUACUCCACUUUCUGAUCAAGUCAAAGCACAGACAGAGAGGCACGCUCGCUGAAUGAAGCCUCGGGGUUUGUAACACCGGGGAGCAAAUGCAGCGAGUGGGUAUGCUGACAGGAAUAUACUGAAUGGGAGUGUUUGUUUAACGAGGAUCUUGGCAGUGAAAACAUCCCGAGCUUCUUUCGUUGACUCCUCAUAACUCUAUAAACACUUUUUCAGCAUAGAGGAGAAUCCCGAGGCCAGCGUGUGCAGGACUUAAAAUUUGAGGUUCCUGAAGUGGCAGUUCUUUCUCUGCAAGACCCAAAGCUUGAGGUUUCUGAUCUGGACUGUCCAGGUUUUUUCCCAGCAGGAUCCAAAAUUUGAGCAAAACAACACGGCUCUCAGCUCAUUGGCUAAUCAUUGCAGGCUGGCCAGGCCUUCCGUGCUCAAGAACGACACCAGAGCGAUCCUGGCUCUGUGAGAAGGCCUUGAAACCCAGCCUGAAGAGAACCAUGCAGCUCCAACAGCUGCUUACCGCCUGAAACAAGUCCUGCCCUGAAAGGAAGCAAGAAGGAAACCGGCUCAUCCAGCUCGGCCUCUGCCCUCACAUAUUUAUAAACACCUGCACCUCCUCAUAGCACACAAGACAAUUUCAGACUUUUCUGAGAUUUACACUUUGUCAUUGCAACUCAAAGAGCAGCAUGUACAUCAUUUACCACCUCUGUGGGUUCAAAUGAACUUUAACACUUAACUGCAGCAACUUUACUAGCAAAUACUGUGUUCCUUCGCUUUAAUACAGUUAACUAUUGGCAGCCUUGCUAUUUCACUAAUUUUUUUCAGUGAAACUUAGCUUACUUUUUUUUUAAUAGCAUUCUGUGUUCUGCAUUCUGAUUUGCAGU
rnacentral:lncRNA from 1 species